rnacentral:lncRNA from 12 species
UUGGAAAUCUCUUCAGCGGAGACAAAGAAAUUACUUGCAAAAGGAAUUUUGCUUUCCAAUUCUUCAACUAAAAAAGAAUAUCUCAGGCCUCUGAGUUGUUUCAAGCAUCAGAUCCACCUCUCCAUUGCAGCUUUAAUGAGACCAAGCAGAAACAGAAAUUACUUUAAUCCUGUGCAGAUAUACAAGUCAGUAUUUGUCAGACCAGA